rnacentral:rRNA from 1 species
AGACGUCUACAUUAGAUACCCCCGUAGUCCCAGCCGUAAACUAUGCGCGUUAGGUGUAUCGGUGACCACGAGUUACCGAGGUGCCGAAGGGAAACCGUGAAACGUGCCGCCUGGGAAGUACGGUCGCAAGGCUGAAGCUUAAAGGAAUUGGCGGGGAGCACCACAACGGGUGGAGCCUGCGGUUUAAUUGGACUCAACGCCGGGAAGCUCACCGGAUAAGACAGCGGAAUGAUUGCCGGGCUGAAGACUCUGCAUGACUAGCUG